AAUAAUAAAAAAAAAAAAUCUGUAGAGAUGGCGGGGUGGGGGGGGUCUCUCUGUGUUGCCCAGGUUAGUCUUGAACUCCUGGCCUCAAGCAAUUCUCCCACUUUGGCCUCCCAAAGUGCUGGGAUUGCGGGUAUGCACCACUGCUCCCAGCAAAAAGGGGUUUUAAAAGUAGCUUAGAGGCCAGGUGUGGUGGCUCAUGCCUGCAAUCCCAGCACUUUGAGAGGCCGAGGCGGGCAGAUCACGAGGUCAGGAGUUCGAGACCAGCCUGGCCAAUAUGGUGAAACCCCGUCUCUACUAAAAAUACAAAAUUAGCUGGGCAUGGUGGCACAUGCCUGUAGUCCCAGCUACUACGGAGGUUGAGGCAGGAGAAUCGCUUGAACCUGGGAGGUGGAGGAUGCGGUGAGCCGAGAUUGUGCCAUUGCACUCCAGCCUGGGCAACAACAGCGAAACUCUGUCUCAAAAAACUAAAUAAAUAAAUAAAAUAAAUAAAUAAAUAAAUUGCAUAUUUUAACAGUAUGUGAACAAACAGAGGCUAUUAUAGCAUAAAUUCAAUGCAAGUAAAUGGGUAUUUAAAAGGAAAUUUGCUGUUCUGGUUAUAAAGUUUUUGAGACAGGGCUAGUAUCUCACUUAAUUUUAAAGAUCAAGUGAAACCCCAAGAAAAGACAAUAUUUAAAACAUCAAGAGUAUUAAUCAUCCUUUUAAGUCAUCAACAGUCAAGUAAUCCACUUAAUGUGCUGCUUGAAGAAAAUAGAAUAAGCACUGUCCAUUCUGCCUUUAGGUUCAUCUCUGAUAUCAGGGGUAUUCUUUCCUCUGAAGUCAUCUUCUUAAAAACAAAUGCAAAAUCAACAUGUUGGUUUUCUUAGAAGCUUUGUAAAGUCCCAAUGCAGGAAAUUACACGUAAGAAUGUUACUUGACCUUCAGAAAUCCCUCACAGAAGAUCUGAGUGGAACAGCUCCACCACCACAUUCCCAUCCGUGGCUUCGGCUAGUGGCGAAAUCUGAAAAAUAAUUCUUCUUGUGAUAUGUCCUUGGAAUUUCUUCCUCACGUACAAAGCUUAAGAGUUAAUUAAGGUAAAAAAGCAACAAUAUAUAGUUAGAGAUCGGCCAUACAGUCAUUAUCAAUCUUUCGGCCUCGAAGAACUCAAAUAGGAGAUUAUUUCUUCCAACUAAGACCCUCAGACAGCAGAUUUUGAUAAAAGCUGUAACCCAGGCCAUUCUGCUGGUGGACAGAAUCUCUCCCUAAUUGCUGGGAGAGUAUACCAAGGAACUGUAUUUUCACUAAAGCCACAUUUUAAUUCAUGAUAAACACAACUUCUGGAAAUUUUUACAACUAAAUAUUCUUAAAUAGAAAGGCUUUUAAGAUAUGAAAAUGGUAUUAUGGUUAUGCUUUGAAAAAAGUUUUUUCCUUUUGAAUAUACUGAAAUAUUUAUAGUGAUUUAAUAUGUGGGAUUUACUUCAAAAUAACAUGGUGGUGGGGGGAGUGGGUAGAAGUUUUAACACGAUUGGCCACAAAUUUAUAAAGCUGGGUGGUGGGGACAUGAUUAAUUACACUAUUUUGUCUUCUUUAAGCUUAAAAAUUUCCAACAUAAAAAAUUGUGCAUAUCCUUGCAUGAGAUAUAAAAUAUACCCAUGCAGGCUGGGCGCUGUGGCUCACCCCUGUAAUCCCAGCAUUUUAGGAGGCCGAGUCGGGCAGAUCACAAGGUCAGGAGUUCGAGACCAGCCUUGCCAACAUGGUGAAACCCUGUCUCUACUAAAAACACAAAAAUGAGCCAGUUGUGGUGGCGAGCGCCUGUAAUCCCAGCUACUUGGGAGGCUGAGGCAGGAGAAUCGCUUGAACCCGGGAGGCAGAGGUUGCAGUGAGCCAAGACAGUGCCAUUGCACUCCAGCCUGAACGAGAGCAAAACCCCGUCUCAAAAAAAACAAAACAAUAACAAUAAUGUACACGUUUCACAUUUGGACACACUGAAAUCAAACUCACGUAUUCAAAUUUUUUUAGAUUAAGUUACAUAAAGCAUGCACACCAUUUGGCACAGGCCCGGCAAACAAUCAGUACUCAACAUCACCUGUUAUUUUCCUGAUUUUCCAACUUUAGAGUCAAACUAAAUGUUAUAGAAUUAUAUGUAUGAUUAUGUAUAUACAAUAUAUAUAAAUACAUAUAAAUACCGUAAAUUAAGCUAGUAUGUUAUUGCGUAAAGUAAUGGUCUUACCCUAGACGAAGGUGAGUUUAAUUGUAACAGAUGAAACAAAGAAUAGAAAACUUGUUAAGAAGUGUUCAAUGUAAGCUCUCAUCUCUGCAGGGUUUCAUGUGACUUAUAAUUACCAGUCAGCUGGUCCUAGAGAACUUAAUCAAAAUGUAUAGUAAAGACGAACUACGUGGACCAGUGGCCAUUUAUCUGCAAGGUGGCACCAGCCACUGACAUCUGAUCACUUCCAUACUGAUGCUGAAAUCCUAUGCAAAUUCAUUACUUAGGUCAAGCUGGGAAACACUUCUGUCAAGUCACUACACAAUUAAAUAAAAAUACCCAAAAGGGACUUAC
rnacentral:lncRNA from 1 species